GCGGCCAUGGCGGAAUGGUAGACGCACUAGCUUGAGGUGCUAGCGGGGCAACCCGUGGAAGUUCGAAUCUUCUUGGCCGCACCA
rnacentral:tRNA from 1 species